ensembl:snoRNA
GCAUCUGAAUCUUUCCCGCUCCUUGCAAUGUAGUGCUGGACCGGGGAUACAUGGUGCAACAGGAAAGCAGAGGAAAUCCAGACAAGCUCCCUUUCACCACAGUGGGACUUGUCUCUACACCUGUGCAACAUUU